rnacentral:lncRNA from 1 species
UCUUGAUCCGAUGGAUACACACACGCACUCUAAGCUCAACUGAUGCAGUUGCAUCGUCUCCUCUUGCCGCCAGCCGCCGGCGCCGUUGAGGUAUCCCAUGAUGAAGCAAAUGACGAUGUGUCCAUGCAAUUCCAAUGGCCACCAUAACUUCGCAUCACUCCCCCUUUUCAGGAAGCCCCAAGAUUCCCCAACUCCGACCAAACCCUCCAAACCCCACCUCUCGUUCUUCAAUUGAGGCCCCAAAUCGUCACUUCCGUCGUCGCCCCAGGGGUUGAGUUUCUCAGCGCUAUUGUACAACGUGCUGGUGAGCUGAAGACGGUCUCACUGGUGUGCCGGGUGUGGAGGGAUGCGCUGAAGCCGCUGCGUGGGCGAUGGUGUUCCUCAAGUGGGUGAAGCGGUUCAAACACAGCCGCGGCGAGGUGAAGGCCAAUUCGAGGAAGGCGCUCGAUUCCUUCCUCAAGGGGCCGCGCGUGGAUCAACGCUCGCGAUGGUAAACGCCAGAUUGAUUUACUGGGAGAUGGGGUAGAAGAAGGACGAGAUUGUUUGGUAUCGACUGGCGGCGAAGCUACGUGAUCUUACGGGACGAGAUUGCAAAUUUAAAAAAAAAUCAAACGCUGUUAAGUCACUGUUAAAAUGUGGGGGGAUAUUUGUUUCACUUUUGACACGUUGGGGUAAUGAGCAGCGUCAAUCCUGAUUUUAGAGUGUUAAAAGGCGAUAAAGGUGAUAAUGUUGGGGCAAAAGUGAUACUUAAGCCUUAUUAAUUUAUAUAAUAUUCCGAUAUUUGUGUCCAUUAUUAAGGCUGCGUAGUAGAUGGGGAGGCAUUUGGUUGGGUCUACCGACUUAGAAAACUAGAUUGUGUAAAUCAGCUAAAUAUGUAUUUAUCUUUCUUUUCUUGUUUUGGCAAGAAAUAUGCAUAUAACUUAUUCAAAGGUUUUCUUUUAUAAUAGCUAUAUACAAUCUACCUAUGUUUUCUUUAGAACUGUUUGGCCUUCACGGUUCCAAAAUGAACCUUAACAUCCUUCCCAAAGCCUCCUCCCUCUCUCUCUCAUGAAUGGAAGCCCAGAUAACUUUCAACUUUAUCUCUCUCUGAAGCCGCCAUAAAUUUUAAAGUUUCAAUUUGCUCCUUGUGGUGGGACCCGCAGCCAGCGAUAUUUUGACCCCCUCCCCAUGAAUUUCAUCCGUCAUCAUGUCCUCUCCUCCCGUCAUAACGGCUUCAAACUGUUCAGUUUUAUGGAUUAACAAAAUUUAGUUUCAACGUAUAAUUACUACUCUCUCCUUUCCUUAGCAUAAAAACACGCAUGAUAUGAAACUAAAUGAAUUUUAAGAAAUUCUAUAAAAUAUAAUGUGAAUGAAAAAAAAAUCUCACAUUUAUUUAUUGUGAUAUUUAAUGAUAGAAUUAUUACUAUAAAUAAAUUACGCAUAUUUUUAUGGGAUGAAUGAAAAAUAAAAAUUAAGCAUAAUUUUAUGGGACAGAGGGAGUAUUUGUUUCUAAAAUAUUUUGUAUAUGUUCGGAUAAUUUGAGUACUUGAAUAUCUUAUUUACCCGAAUCAGCAGUUUGACAUUUGGAAAUUGAAAAUUAACCUGAUAAUUUAGGGUACCUGAUUUUACAAUCGGUACCGGUAUCAGUGCAGAGUUUUCUCCCUUAUUCAAGUUCGUGUACCCGAUUUUUCGGAUAAGGUACUCGAACCCAACCCGAUUGCCAUCCGUGAUUGUAUUAGUACAAAACAAAACUAAAACAAACUUAAGUAUACAAUUUGGUGUGGUUUAAUUUGUGUUUGCAUAUAUUUAUAUUUUUCUACUUAAUACUAAUAAAAAUCAAAUAUUUAUAAGAUUCUUCAAAAGAGGAAGAAUAUGAUAUCAUUAAAGAAUAAAACUAAAAAAUCCAAAUAAAUAAAAAUAAUUUUAAGACAUGAAUAAAAUGACUCGAUGUGAAUAUAUAUAUGAAUAUAAAUUGAUAUAAUAUUCUUUACUUACAAAAUUCAAACAUAAAAUAAAAAUAAAAUAAAAUAAAAAUAAUAAUAAUAAUAAUAAUAAUAAUAAUAAUAAUAAUAAUAAUAAUAAUAAUAAUAAUAAUAAUAAUAAUAAUAAUAAUAAAUAAAGUUAAUUAGUCUAUUCGAUAGUAAAAAUAGUAGCAAACAUAAUGAUGUCUACCCUUAGAGACCUCUAACAAUGAUUUAUUGUUGACUUAUUUUUUUAUAAAAAUGUGAAAUAUAUUCUACACCUACUUAUUACAAGGAAGAAANUUUUCGCGCAAAAAAUGGCUAAAAUUUAAUGUUUUUAUUCUAGUGGCUAAAAUUUAUUUUUACUAUAUGAAGUGAUAGUUUUAUAUAUUACUCCAAUUAAAUUUAAAUAAAAAUACAAAAAUCAAAACUAAAAAGAUGUGGUCUUUUGAUUCAAUGUGAUCCCCCUUUUAUCAGAUCAGCUAUCAGGUCACCUCCGCUGUGGAUGCUCUAAACUCUUGAAACAUCUUGUAAGCUUUUUAAAAUAAACUUAGCCAAACGCUCUGUAAAUAUGGUGCAAGUUUUCAAUAAGAAAUAAAUAAGAAUUUUAACAUGGAGAAUUUGAAAUUGGGACUCAUUUGGUGCCUCAUGUUCUCAUGUAUAUGUAAUUGAGAAACAAUUCAAAAGAGUGAUAGUAUUAUAUUUUCGUGCAAAUUUGCUGGAAAAUUCAGAAAAUAAUAGUGGAAUGAAGAAUAUUCCUUUCGUGCACAUUUCUGGAAAAUUCAGAAAAUAAUAGUGGUAAUUCACGGUUAUUUCUUGCCAGAUUGCUGUCAACUUUCACGGUCAGUUAAAGCUUUUGUGCUUUCUUUGAAUUGUCAUUUUUACACCAUUUACGUUUCGAAAAAAAGUUUGAUAAAAUCCGAAAUCGUGUCUGUCAAAUAUCUACCAAUCUCUGUCUAUUAGAUUUUCCAAUUAACCCAAUGGCCCGCCCCAACGAGCUUCACAAAAAUGCCAACAGCUUCACUCUUUCUUUUAACUUCGAACAAUACAAAAAUUAUGGAGAUAUUUGUUAUUUCUUUAAAUCUAUCUGAUAUUCAUAUUGGUGUGUAAAAUAUAACUUUUAGCUAAUCUAUAAAUCGUCCAUCAACUUUAAUUUUGGUAUUACAAUACAUAAAUUUUUAAUUUAUUACUCCAUUCAUCCACGAUAUUAUUUUUACUUUUACUAUUUUGUUCCGUUCACCAUAUCGUUUUCACUUUCAUUUAUAGCAGUAGGGUUCACAAACUUUUACUCACAAUAAUAAUGGAACCCAAAUUUCACUCACAACAAUAUCAUUAUUAUCCACCACUUUCUUAAAAUUCAUGAUGGAGAAAGUAUAAUUUUAUCAUAAACUUAAAAUCUCAAAUUUAAAUUCACUUCAAAGUCAAUUAAGCUAAAAUUCAUAAAUUCAAACUAAAAUGAUGUAAACAAAAAAAAGUUACACACUUCCAAACUUUAUAAAAAUUUAAAAUUUUUAAUUUGAUGAUAAAAUUAAUAUAAUAAAUUAAAAAUUUAUUAUGUUUAAUUGAGUUAAAUACACUUUUCUCCAAUGUUGUCACCCCUAUAACACCCUAGAGUCAGGGUUGACGUUGUUCACUAUCCUAACAUGUCAAAAGUAAAGCAAAUUCCUCCCCGCAUUUUAACGGUGACUUAACACCGUUCGAAUAUUUUUUUUUUAAUAAAUACGGCCCCCAGUUUCUUGAUCCGAUGGAUACACACACGCACUCUAAGCUCAACUGAUGCAGUUGCAUCGUCUCCUCUUGCCGCCCAGCCGCCGGCGCCGUUGAGGUAUCCCAUGAUGAAGCAAAUGACGAUGUGUCCAUGCAAUUCCAAUGGCCACCAUAACUUCGCAUCACUCCCCCUUUUCAGGAAGCCCCAAGAUUCCCCCAACUCCGACCAAACCCUCCAAACCCCACCUCUCGUUCUUCAAUUGAGGCCCCAAAUCGUCACUUCCGUCGUCGCCCCAGG